rnacentral:rRNA from 1 species
AUACCUGGCAGCACCAAUGAUCAGCCAUGCCGCGUGCAGGAAGACUGCCCUAUGGGUUGUAAACUGCUUUUAUACAGGAAGAAACACCUCUACGUGUAGAGGCUUGACGGUACUGUAAGAAUAAGGAUCGGCUAACUCCGUGCCAGCAGCCGCGGUAAUACGGAGGAUCCAAGCGUUAUCCGGAAUCAUUGGGUUUAAAGGGUCCGUAGGUGGAUAAUUAAGUCAGAGGUGAAAGUCUGCAGCUCAACUGUAGAAUUGCCUUUGAUACUGGUUAUCUUGAAUUAUUAUGAAGUAGUUAGAAUAUGUAGUGUAGCGGUGAAAUGCAUAGAUAUUACAUAGAAUACCAAUUGCGAAGGCAGAUUACUAAUAAUCAAUUGACACUGAUGGACGAAAGCGUAGGUAGCGAAUGGGAUUAGAUACCCCCUGUAGUACA